CCUGGAGGGGAAUGGAAACAUUAUUUCAAAGUUAUUUCACAGUUGGUUAUCUGAGAGAGAUCCUAUUUGGGCCCCCUAACAAGUCAGAGAGCAGAGUAUUCUAUGUAUGGAAGAGCAGAUCAGUCCUGAGUCACAUGUACUGGACAUUUAUCUAGUCUCUCAAAUGUGGGAUUUGUUCAGCGAUAUUACAUUCUUUCUUGUAACAAAGCUACAGUUAUGAUUUGGCCAUGAGGUCAACAAAGCUACAGUAAUGAUAUGGACAUGAGGUAAACAAAGCUACAGUAAUAAUAUGGACAUGAGGUAAACAAAGCUACAAUAAUUAUAUGGCAAUGAGAUCAACAAAGCUACGGUAAUGAUACAGACAUGAGGUAAACAAAGCUACAGUAAUUAUGUGGCAAUGAGAUCAACAAAGCUACAGUAAUUAUAUGGCAAUGAGAUCAACAAAGCUACAGUAAUGAUCUAGCCAUGAGGUCAACAAACCUAAAGUAAUGAUAUGGACAUGAGGUCAACAAAGCUACAGUAAUGAUAUGGACAUGAGGUCAACAAAGCUACAGUAAUGAUAUGGCAAUGAGGUCAACAAAGCUACAGUAAUGAUAUGGACAUGAGGUCAACAAAGCUACAGUAAUGAUAUGGCAAUGAGGUCAACAAAGCUACAGUAAUGAUAUGGACAUGAGGUCAACAAAGCUACAGUAAUGAUAUGGCAAUGAGGUCAACAAAGCUACAGUAAUGAUAUGGCAAUGAGGUCAACAAAGCUACAGUAAUGAUAUGGCAAUGAGGUCAACAAAGCUACAGUAAUGAUAUGGCAAUGAGGUCAACAAAGCUACAGUAAUGAUAUAGCCAUGAGGUCAACAAAGCUACAAUAAUGAUAUGGACAUGAGGUAAACAAAGCUACAAUAAUGAUAUGGACAUGAGGUAAACAAAGCUACAAUAAUGAUAUGGACAUGAGGUCAACAAAGCUACAGUAAUGAUAUGGCAAUGAGGUCAACAAAGCUACAGUAAUGAUAUGGCAAUGAGGUCAACAAAGCUACAGUAAUGAUAUAGCCAUGAGGUCAACAAAGCUACAGUAAUGAUAUGGACAUGAGGUCAACAAAGCUACAGUAAUGAUAUGGCAAUGAGGUCAACAAAGCUACAGUAAUGAUAUGGCAAUGAGGUCAACAAAGCUACAGUAAUGAUAUGGACAUGAGGUAAACAAAGCUACAGUAAUGAUAUGGCAAUGAGGUCAACAAAGCUACAGUAAUGAUAUAGCCAUGAGGUCAACAAAACUACAGUAAUAGUUUAUCAAAAACAGUGACAUUAGUCGCUUGUAAAAGACUGAUAACCUGCCAGCUCACACAAUAUUUGGUUCUGGUUUCCGAGAUUACAGUGAA